rnacentral:rRNA from 1 species
AUUGAACGCUGGCGGCAUGCCUUACACAUGCAAGUCGAACGGCAGCACGGGGGCAACCCUGGUGGCGAGUGGCGAACGGGUGAGUAAUACAUCGGAACGUGCCCAGUAGUGGGGGAUAGCUCGGCGAAAGCCGGAUUAAUACCGCAUACGACCUACGGGUGAAAGCGGGGGACCGCAAGGCCUCGCGCUAUCGGAGCGGCCGAUGUCAGAUUAGGUAGUUGGUGGGGUAAAGGCCUACCAAGCCGACGAUCUGUAGCUGGUCUGAGAGGACGACCAGCCACACUGGGACUGAGACACGGCCCAGACUCCUACGGGAGGCAGCAGUGGGGAAUUUUGGACAAUGGGGGCAACCCUGAUCCAGCCAUGCCGCGUGCGGGAAGAAGGCCUUCGGGUUGUAAACCGCUUUUGUCGGGGAAGAAAUCUCUCAGGCUAAUACCUUGGGAGGAUGACGGUACCCGAAGAAUAAGCACCGGCUAACUACGUGCCAGCAGCCGCAGUAA